GUGGCUGUAGCUCAGCUGGUUAGAGCGCCUGGCUGUGAACCAGGAGGUCGGGGGUUCAAGUCCCCUCAGUCACCCCA
rnacentral:tRNA from 1 species